GUGUCCAGAGAGGUGAACGCGGCGCUCGGGUUGGCUCCGCCCUCCGCUGCCGGGCAUGCCCAGCGUCUGCAGCUGCCGGACCAGCUCAGGCAUGCGGUCCCAGUGGCCUUCGGCGCGGCAGCGCUCCAGCUCGCCCUCCACCUUCAGCAGAGUUUCUCUUUCCAACUUGACUCCCCUACACUACACGACUGGUCGUAGUCUGCAGGCUCUGGUGCCUUGGAUUUCUUAAAGGCUGUUUUUCUAACUUGGUAUUCAUUUAUUUCUUCAUUCUGGUGUCUGAAGACAGGGAUCGAAGGUACCGAGCGCUUAGCCGGGCUUAGUUCUAUGCUCUGCCGGAACUAAGGACGUCACUCAAGAAACCACCACCAGACAGAAAACUGAAACCAAAUCCUACCUCCCCACUUAAAUGACUUAUUGUAGGGCCCAUGUCCAAGAUGCCAACAUAAGAGUUGGGCAAGCUACUGUUGACGACUUCAAGUCAGAAGGCAUCCCCUUCCUCUCCAGUGUGGAGAGACAGCUCUGCUGAGUGCACUUGCCCUACUGCAAACUCAGAAGGAAUGAAGUUCAUAGAAGACAAAUCCAAAUGCUGAGAAAUGCGUAUUUUCAGUGAGUGACAAAACCAAAUCAACAGAAGACUUAGCUACUGCCCUCAGACAAGAUGGAGAGACUUUUGCUACUGGAUCGUCAGAAAGGCUGUAAGUUAUUGAUCUUGAUGAGUGUCAUGAAGUAAAGGGCUUGUGGAGAUCUCUCAUAGGUGCAAAAGCUGGAUACUUAGGUGGCCCAGAAUGAGAAAGUACCGGGCUGUUGGAAAAGUCACGAUGUAGUUUUUCUAUGCAAAAAUGCAAAUGUGACUUUUCUGACAACCCAAUAUUAAAGAGCUCAUUUUAACUCACUGUUUACAUUUGGAUAACUAGAGGAAAAAGUUUGGUUACUGAGGAAUCAUUUAAGUCAAAUAAUGAUGUGCAAACUUUAGAAAAGUUGGGACCACACUGCCUGUAGUGGCCCAACAAAUCUGGGAAUCUUCCUAAUUACCUUUGUUACCAGCCAGGAAUGUUUUGUACAUUGGUUGUCUGGAGUAUGGGAUUUACCUCCAUGGGAUAUAUCUUGUCUUAGGUAAUGCACUUUCCUUUGAUAAAUUAAUUUCUCCAUGAAAACUCUUAUGCCUUUGUGAGCAAAAAUGUAAGGAGAUAUGUCAGACUUAGAGCUUACUUCAUCUGUACAAGACGUUGUCCACGUAUUGGACAAGAAUAAAAGCAAGGGGACAAUGUAAGAUCCUUGGUGUCCUGGUUGAGCACUUGCAAAAAAGUAGAACUCUCGGCCAUGGCAGUCCAAGUAUACUGUUGAUUUUCCAUAGUGAAGACAAAUAAAAGCACUGUUUUUGUUUUUAAUUAUUUAUUUAUUUAAUUCCAUUUGUUAUUAUUUUUUAAGUUGACCAACAGAGACAGCGAAAGAAAGGGAAAGUAAGAAAGCAAGCCGCC